GAUGAAGAACGUAGCGAAAUGCGAUAAGUAAUGUGAAUUGCAGAAUCCAGUGAAUCAUCGAAUCUUUGAACGCACAUUGCGCCCGCCAGCAUUCUGGCGGGCAUGCCUGUUCGAGCGUCAUUUCAACCCUCGACCUCCCUUUGGGGAAGUCGGCGUUGGGGACCGGCAGCACACCGCCGGCCCUGAAAUGGAGUGGCGGCCCGUCCGCGGCGACCUCUGCGUAGUAAUCCAACUCGCACCGGAACCCCGACGCGGCCACGCCGUAAAACACCCAACUUCUGAACGUUGACCUCGAAUCAGGUAGGACUACCCGCUGAACUUAAGCAUUCAAUAAGCGGAGGA
rnacentral:misc_RNA from 1 species